UGGUGACUGUUCUGAUGUUGCUCUUUGGAAGACUGAAGUUUUAUUGUUUUCUUGAAAAAAAAAUAUGUAACUUGUGGCAGUCCUUAUUUAUGCUUGUUUUGUAAUAUUUUGGGGUCUUAGUGAGUUCCUUGGAUUUGUUCAUUAUCUCAGCUAUCACAGUUGUGUAUAAUGAUGGUUUGUACUUCCUGACUAUUAUGCUUU
rnacentral:lncRNA from 1 species